rnacentral:rRNA from 1 species
AUACGUAGGGGGCGAGCGUUGUCCGGAAUGACUGGGCGUAAAGGGAGUGUAGGCGGAGGUGUAAGUCUGGAGUGAAAGUCCCGCAUUCAAUGUGGGAAUUGCUUUGGAUACUGCAGUGCUAGCGUGCGGAAGAGGAAAGUGGAAUUCCCCGUGUAUCGGUGAAAUGCGUAGAGAUUGGGAUGAACACCAGUGGCGAAGGCGACUUACUGGGCCGUAACUGACGCUGAGGCGCGAAAGCGUGGGGAGCGAACAGGAUUAGAUACCCUGGUAGUCCACGCGGUAAACGAUGAAUGCUAGGUGUUGCGGGUAUCGACCCCUGCAGUGCCGGAGUAAACACAAUAAGCAUUCCGCCUGGGGAGUACGGCCGCAAGGUUGAAACUCAAAUGAAUUGGCGGGG